CGCAGCACGUCCGGGUAGCGGCCCUCUCGGCCACUCUGCAGAGUUUGGUAUUCAGUCGGUCCAGAAGCUGACUCUCGCAUACCUCACAAGAGUAUUUAACAAGAAGGCAGAGUUUAAGUGGCUCAAAGCCAUCAUCAGGAAAUAUCAUCAGGUCAUGGCUGCGCUGGGUCUUCACUGCGGCACGUGGGCUGUUCGUUGCAGGAUCCUCUCUAGUUGUGGUGCACGGGCUCAGUAGUUG